rnacentral:rRNA from 1 species
CCUACGGGAGGCAGCAGUGGGGAAUAUUGCGCAAUGGGCGAAAGCCUGACCCAGCAACGCCGCGUGAGGGAAGAAGGCUUUCGGGUUGUAAACUUCUAUUGACAGGGAAGAGCAGAAGACGGUACCUGUCGAAUAAGCCACGGCUAACUACGUGCCAGCAGCCGCGGUAAUACGUAGGUGGCAAGCGUUGUCCGGAUGUACUGGGUGUAAAGGGCGGGUAGCCGGGCUGACAAGUCAGAUGUGAAAUACGGGUGCUCAACUCCCGAACUGCAUUUGAAACUGUCGGUCUUGAGUAUCGGAGAGGCAGGCGGAAUUCCUAGUGUAGCGGUGAAAUGCGUAGAUAUUAGGAGGAACACCAGUGGCGAAGGCGGCCUGCUGGACGACAACUGACGGUGAGGCGCGAAAGCGUGGGGAGCAAACAGGAUUAGAUACCCGUGUAGUC